rnacentral:rRNA from 1 species
GGGCGCAAGCCUGAUCCAGCAAUGCCGCGUGCAGGAUGAAGGCCUUCGGGUUGUAAACUGCUUUUGUACGGAACGAAAAGGCUCUGGUUAAUACCUGGGGCUCAUGACGGUACCGUAAGAAUAAGCACCGGCUAACUACGUGCCAGCAGCCGCGGUAAUACGUAGGGUGCGAGCGUUAAUCGGAAUUACUGGGCGUAAAGCGUGCGCAGGCGGUUAUGUAAGACAGAGGUGAAAUCCCCGGGCUCAACCUGGGAACUGCCUUUGUGACUGCAUAGCUAGAGUACGGCAGAGGGGGAUGGAAUUCCGCGUGUAGCAGUGAAAUGCGUAGAUAUGCGGAGGAACACCGAUGGCGAAGGCAAUCCCCUGGGCCUGUACUGACGCUCAUGCACGAAAGCGUGGGGAGCAAACAGGAUUAGAUACCCUGGUAGUCCACGCCCUAAACGAUGUCAACUGGUUGUUGGGUCUUAACUGACUCAGUAACGAAGCUAACGCGUGAAGUUGACCGCCUGG